rnacentral:rRNA from 1 species
GACGAACGCUGGCGGUGUGCUUCACACAUGCAAGUCGAACGAGGUAGCAAUACCUAGUGGCGGACGGGUGAGUAACGCGUGGGAAUCUGCCCAUAGGUGGGGGAUAACUAGCCGAAAGGUUAGCUAAUACCGCAUAUGCCGAGAGGUAAAAGGAGUAAUCCGCCUUUGGAUGAGCCCGCGUCCGAUUAGCUAGUUGGUAGGGUAAAAGCCUACCAAGGCUACGAUCGGUAGCUGGUCUGAGAGGAUGAUCAGCCACAAUGGGACUGAGACACGGCCCAUACUCCUACGGGAGGCAGCAGUGGGGAAUUUUACGCAAUGGGGGGAAACCCUGACGUAGCGACACCGCGUGAACGAAGAAGCCCUUUGGGGUGUAAAGUUCUGUCGGCUGGAACGAAAAAAUGACGGUACCAGCAAAGGAAGCAUCGGCUAACUACGUGCCAGCAGCCGCGGUAA